GACGAACGCUGGCGGCGUGCUUAACACAUGCAAGUCGAACGGGUCUGCCCUGUUUUUUGCGGGGUGGGUCAGUGGCGAACGGGUGAGUAACACGUGAGUAACCUGCCCCUCACUUCUGGAUAACCGCUUGAAAGGGUGGCUAAUACGGGGUGUUCUGGCUGUGCCGCAUGGUGUGGCUGGGAAAGAUUCACUUUUGUGGUGUUUUGGUGGGGGAUGGGCUCGCGGCCUAUCAGCUUGUUGGUGGGGUGAUGGCCUGCCAAGGCUUUGACGGGUAGCCGGCCUGGGAGGGUGGGCGGUCACACUGGGACUGAGAUACGGCCCAGACUCCGGCGGGAGGCAGCAGUGGGGGGUAUUGCACAAUGGGCGGAAGCCUGAUGCAGCGACGUCGCGUGAGGGAUGGAGGCCUGCGGGUUGUGAACCUCUUUCGCCGGUGAAGAAGGUCCUGCUCUUUGUGGUGGGGUUGACGGUAGCCGGGUUAUGAAGCGCCGGCUAACUACGUG
rnacentral:rRNA from 1 species